rnacentral:rRNA from 1 species
AGUGAACGCUGGCGGUAGGCCUAACACAUGCAAGUCGAACGGCAGCACAGUAAGAGCUUGCUCUUACGGGUGGCGAGUGGCGGACGGGUGAGGAAUACAUCGGAAUCUACUUUUUCGUGGGGGAUAACGUAGGGAAACUUACGCUAAUACCGCAUACGACCUACGGGUGAAAGCAGGGGAUCUUCGGACCUUGCGCGAUUGAAUGAGCCGAUGUCGGAUUAGCUAGUUGGCGGGGUAAAGGCCCACCAAGGCGACGAUCCGUAGCUGGUCUGAGAGGAUGUUCAGCCACACUGGAACUGAGACACGGGCCAGACUCCUACGGGAGGCAGCAGUGGGGAAUAUUGGACAAUGGGCGCAAGCCUGAUCCAGCCAUACCGCGUGGGUGAAGAAGGCCUUCGGGUUGUAAAGCCCUUUUGUUGGGAAAGAAAUCCAGCCGGCUAAUACCUGGUUGGGAUGACGGUACCCAAAGAAUAAGCACCGGCUAACUUCGUGCCAGCAGCCGCAGUAA